rnacentral:rRNA from 1 species
UGAGUACGAGCUGCUACGGCAGCGAAGUGGGUGAUGUCAAGCUUCCAAGAAAAGCCCUAUACCCGUUAAGGCAUGAUGGCCUGUACCCGAAACCGACACAGGUGGGGUGGUAGAGAAUACCGAGGGGCGCGAGAUAACUCUCUCUAAGGAACUCGGCAAAAUGGCCCCGUAACUUCGGGAGAAGGGGUGCCACCGCAAGGUGGUCGCAGUGAAGAGGCCCAGGCGACUGUUUACCAAAAACACAGGUCUCCGCUAAGUCGCAAGACGAUGUAUGGGGGCUGACGCCUGCCCAGUGCCGGAAGGUUAAGGAAGCUGGUCAGCGCAAGCGAAGCUAGCGACUGAAGCCCCGGUGAACGGCGGCCGUAACUAUAACGGUCCUAAGGUAGCGAAAUUCCUUGUCGGGUAAGUUCCGACCCGCACGAAAGGCGUAACGAUCUGGGCGCUGUCUCGGAGAGAGGCUCGGCGAAAUAGAAUUGUCUGUGAAGAUGCGGACUACGUGCACCCGGACAGAAAGACCCUAUGAAGCUUUACUGUAGCUUGGUAUUGUGCUCGGGCUCGGAAUGCGCAGGAUAGGUGGGAGGCUAUGAACCAUUGCUUGUGGGUGAUGGUGAGCCACUGGUGAGAUACCACUCUUUCCGAGCUAGAGUUCUAACAGCCACCCGUUAUCCGGGGGCUGGACAGUAUCAGGUGGGCAGUUUGACUGGGGCGGUCGCCUCCUAAAAGGUAACGGAGGCGCGCAAAGGUUUGCUCAGGCUGGUUGGAAAUCAGCCGACGAGUGUAAAAGCAGAAGCAAGCUUGACUGUGAGACCUACAAGUCGAACAGGGAGGAAACUCGGCUUUAGUGAUCCGACGGUUCUGCGUGGAAGGGCCGUCGCUCAACGGAUAAAAGUUACUCUAAGGAUAACAGGCUGAUCUCCCCCAAGAGUUCACAUCGACGGGGAGGUUUGGCACCUCGAUGUCGGCUCAUCGCAACCUGGGGCUGAAGUCGGUCCCAAGGGUUGGGCUGUUCGCCCAUUAAAGCGGUACGCGAGCUGGGUUCAGAACGUCGUGAGACAGUUCGGUCCAUAUCCGGUGCAUGCGCAGGAAUAUUGAGAGGAUUUCUCCCUAGUACGAGAGGACCGGGAGGAACGCACCUCUGGUGUACCAGUUAUCGUGCCAACGGUAAACGCUGGGUAGCCAUGUGCGGAGAGGAUAACCGCUGAAAGCAUCUAAGUGGGAAGCCCACCUCAAGAUGAGUAUUCCCAUGGGGUAACCCAGUAAGGUCACGGGAAGAACACCCGUUGAUAGGCUCUACGUGGAAGCGCAGUAAUGUGUGAAGCGGAGGAGUACUAAUAGACCGAGGGCUUGACC